GAAAACAAGCAAAUCUCAUAAACCAAAUCUCAGUUCGGAUUGAAGUCUGCAACUCGACUUCAUGAAGUCGGAAUCGCUAGUAAUCGCAGAUCAGCAUGCUGCGGUGAAUACGUUCCCGGGCCUUGUACACACCGCCCGUCACACCACGAAAGUCUGCAAUGCUAGAAAUCGUGAAGCUAACUCGCAAGAGGGGCUAACGCUUAAGGUGUUGCCGGUAAUUGGGGUGAAGUCGUAACAAGGUAGCUGUAGGGGAACCUGCGGCUGGAUCACCUCCUUUUAAGGGAGUAUAAAUAAAAUCUAUAAAUCUAUUGUCUGCUGUUUAGUUUUGAAAAACUGGUCAAUAGGCUAUUCGGGCCUAUAGCUCAGGUGGUUAGAGCACACGCCU
rnacentral:rRNA from 1 species